ACCCUUGUCCUUAUUUGCCAGCACGUAAUGGUGGGAACUCUAAGGAGACUGCCGGUGACAAACCGGAGGAAGGUGGGGACGACGUCAAGUCAUCAUGGCCCUUACGGGUAGGGCUACACACGUGCUACAAUGGCCGGUACAAAGGGCUGCGAGAUCGCGAGAUGGAGCGAAUCCCAGAAAGCCGGCCUCAGUUCGGAUCGGAGUCUGCAACUCGACUCCGUGAAGUCGGAAUCGCUAGUAAUCGUGAAUCAGAAUGUCACGGUGAAUACGUUCCCGGGCCUUGUACACACCGCCCGUCACACCAUGGGAGUGGACUGCACCAGAAGUGGUUAGCUUAACCUUCGGGAGAGCGAUCACCACGGUGUGGUUCAUGACUGGGGUGAAGUCGUAACAAGGUAGCCGUAGGGGAACCUGCGGCUGGAUCACCUCCUUAAACGACCAGCUUA
rnacentral:rRNA from 1 species